rnacentral:rRNA from 1 species
GGCGGCAGGCCUAACACAUGCAAGUCGAGCGCGAAAGCACUUCGGUGUGAGUAGAGCGGCGGACGGGUGAGUAACGCGUAGGAAUCUACCUAGUAGUGGGGGACAACUCGGGGAAACUCGAGCUAAUACCGCAUAAGCCCUACGGGGGAAAGCGGGGGACCUUCGGGCCUCGUGCUAUUAGAUGAGCCUGCGUUGGAUUAGCUAGUUGGUGGGGUAAAGGCCUACCAAGGCGACGAUCCAUAGCUGGUCUGAGAGGAUGAUCAGCCACACCGGGACUGAGACACGGCCCGGACUCCUACGGGAGGCAGCAGUGGGGAAUAUUGCGCAACGGGCGAAAGCCUGACGCAGCCAUGCCGCGUGUGUGAAGAAGGCCUUCGGGUUGUAAAGCACUUUCAAUUGGGAGGAAAGGUUCACGGUUAAUAACCGUGAGCUGUGACGUUACCUUUAGAAGAAGCACCGGCUAACUCCGUGCCAGCAGCCGCGGUAAUACGGAGGGUGCGAGCGUUAAUCGGAAUUACUGGGCGUAAAGCGCGCGUAGGUGGUCUGUUAAGUCGGAUGUGAAAGCCCCGGGCUCAACCUGGGAACUGCAUUCGAUACUGGCAGACUAGAGUGCGAGAGAAGGAGGUAGAAUUCCAUGUGUAGCGGUGAAAUGCGUAGAUAUGUGGA